rnacentral:misc_RNA from 1 species
GAUGAACGUAGCGAAAUGCGAUAAGUAAUGUGAAUUGCAGAAUUCAGUGAAUCAUCGAAUCUUUGAACGCACAUUGCGCCCGCUAGUAUUCUGGCGGGCAUGCCUGUCCGAGCGUCAUUUUAACCCUCAAGCCCCCGGGCUUGGUGUUGGGGAUCGGCGAGCCUCCGCGCCCGCCGUCCCCUAAAUCUAGUGGCGGUCUCGCUGUAGCUUCCUCUGCGUAGUAGCACACCUCGCACUGGGAAACAGCGCGGCCACGCCGUUAAACCCCCAACUUCUGAACGUUUGACCUCGGAUCAGGUAGGAAUACCCGCUGAACUUAAGCAUAUCAAUAAGCGGAGGA